GACGAACGCUGGCGGCGUGCUUAACACAUGCAAGUCGAGCGGUAAGGCCCUUUCGGGGGUACACGAGCGGCGAACGGGUGAGUAACACGUGGGUGACCUGCCCUCAGCUCUGGGAUAAGCCUGGGAAACCGGGUCUAAUACCGGAUAUGACUCCAUGACGCAUGUUGUGGGGUGGAAAGCCUUGUGCGGCUGAGGAUGGGCCCGCGGCCUAUCAGCUUGUUGGUGGGGUGAUGGCCUACCAAGGCGACGACGGGUAGCCGGCCUGAGAGGGCGACCGGCCACACUGGGACUGAGACACGGCCCAGACUCCUACGGGAGGCAGCAGUGGGGAAUCUUGCGCAAUGGGCGAAAGCCUGACGCAGCGACGCCGCGUGGGGAUGAAGGUCUUC
rnacentral:rRNA from 1 species